UCAAGUCAAAGACACCGGGAAGUGAAUCAAAGAACGCGGCUGCUGACAGCCCGGCCGCACGUGGGCUUUCCCCCGCGCUUUCGAAAACGGUGGUGAGUGUAGGAAUCUCUCUCGAGAACAAAUGCGCUCGACACCAACGCUUGUAAGAUUUGCAAGACGGGACUGGAGAUGUUUACUCGGGAGAUAAAUCCCUUUGCUUCCACCAGGUUUAGUCUCAGCUGUUGGGCUAUCUCACUGAGAGGUUUUGCAGCUAAUGAUUGAUCUGCGUGACCAGCUUGCCCGAGUACAAACAUGGGCCACUGACCAUUUCUUCAGGCAGGAACACUUGACAUUAUCCUCUACUUUCUCCUGGUCCUCUGGGAAGGCAACUUCCAACAACCUUUCUCUGCUCCACUUCAGAAGUAAUGUUUUCUUACUCAAGAUCAAGUGUUGCUGUCCAGCAUACAGUACGCUUCAUUUCAUUUCAUUGUAUGCAAACACCUCACCUCAAAUUGGUUGCUGUGCACUGUGGCAGGAUUUUCUUCACCCCAUCCUUUUGGUCACUGUUUGGUUACAAAUUCACCAAUGGAACAAUGAAAGGUUAUAACCCAACAGUAAGAAAGAAAUACUUAAUGCUUCAGGUGUCUGGACUUCAGUGGAUGAUGUGUAUUGGCAUAGAAGGCUUUGGCUAUAAUGGCAAUACCUACCUGCUGAUAAUGACCAGGGAGGAGCCAUUCAGCAUCCAUGUGUUCUUUGCUUCCUGAGUUGACUCCUUGUCCUCCGUUGUUCUCCUCUCCUAACUGCUCUGCUCAUACUUGCAUCUGGAACAGGCCCUAGCUGUUCUUCCUCCUCACUUAUCUCAGCCUCCAAAGGCAGCUGCCUCUCCGGUGGCUGGAAAGGUCGGAAGGCCCUGGCUCUAUCUCUGCAUCCGACGCAGAGCAUCCAUCAGCCUUCCCCAGACUCCAGAACUGGCCCAAGUUCCUCCCCAACCUCCUCAUCAUCCGGUCCACAACACAAGGUUUUGGGGCCAGCUUGCAAAGAAGUGUUAGAAUAAAAACUAAACUGCUGCCAGGAACCACCAUUUCGGGAUCUGAUUGUCAAAUGCAGCUUGGACCUUGCAAAUAUGGCAACAAGAUAAAAGACUUUUUCCAUGUAUAUAUAUAUAAAAAAAUCCACAGCAACAACAAAAAGAAAACAAACAUGUACAUAAAAGGUAAAAAAGAAAAAAGAAACA